UUUAGUAGAGAUGGGGUUUCACCGUAUCGCCCAGGCUGUUCUCGAACUCCUGAACUCAGGAAAUCUGCCCACCUCGGCCUCCCAAAGUGCUAGGAUUAAAGGCGUGAGCCACCACGCCCGGCCAUAAAUUCUGUUAUUUAAGUGUUUUAGCAGGAUAGCCUUAUCCUGAUCUCACAGGUCAUAAAAUGUAGGUCCUCGGAGAUUGUGUCUUACCCUAAGGUAGAGACAGUAAGUUAACCAAACUCUCUAGUUGACAGUGUAUAGGGGUUAAAUGUGCCCCACAUGGUCUCCACUCCAAAAUGAUUCUGUUCAUAUCAGAAUAGAAUCUUUUCUUUCUUAUCUUUUCUCUGGGACUCAGUUUUUCCAUCUAUAAACAGGGUAUAGUAGCCAGGCAAUAAACAUGAUAAAUAAGUAAAUCACACAGUCUGUUAGAAGGCGACAAGUGCUAUGGGUAGGGAACUGGGAGUCCAGGGGGUGGGGAGGUGAGUCACAUCAUUAAGUAGGAAGAGCAAAGGAAAGCUCCCAGAGAAGGGGACAGCUAAGGAAGGACUCACAGACAAACAGGUGGUGAGAGCACUAGGCCAGGUGGCCAUAUAUCCAGAAAGGCACUCCAGGCAGAGAGAAAGCUAGAGCCAAAACUCCAGGUAAGAACUGGCUUUUGUUUGGGAAUGGGAGAGGGGAAUAAGGCUGUCUGUUUAUCAUCUCCUUUCUUUAAGCAUUGAGACAGUUCAGUUACAUUUUGGUUAAUAAGCAAAGAUAAAAAGAGGCUAAGAAAAGAGCAUCCUGUUUAAUUUUAAAUAGAAAACUAAUGUCAGGGGUAGGAUUUGAAUCUACAGCUCCUAAAACCCUGGUUUGAACCUCUGAGACCCAUUCAGUGAAGCUAGUUUCAAUUCCUUCUGAGCGCAUUCACUUUACCAGCUCUCAGCAGCAUCUGGCACAGCUGCUCCCACUUUCAGGAGUCACUGUCCUCUUCCAGUUUUCAGACAUCAGUUUCUGGUUUUCCUCCAACCUCUCCAGCUACUGCUGUGAGUCUCCCUUGCUGUUCUACCUCUUCUAUCCAACUUCUACCUGCUGGGCUGCCCCAGUACCCUGAGCUGCUUGUCUUCCCUAGCUAUACCAUUGCCUUAAGCCAGGGGUGUCCAAUCUUUUGGCUUCCCUGGGCCACACUGGAAGAAGAAUUGUCUCGGGCCACACAUAAAAUACACUAACACUAAUGAUAGUUGAUGAACUUAAAUCUCAUAAUGUUUUAAGAAAGUUUACGAAUUUGUGUUAGGCUGCAUUCAAAGCUGUCCUGGGCCACAUGUGGGCAACAGGUUGGACAAGUUUGCCUUAAAGGAUCACACUGAUCCAGGCCCAUCCUUGGCUCUAAAUACCACCUCCACCAGUGGUUCUCAGCCCUCGUCAUACAUUAGAGCCACCUAGAUAGAUUUAAAACAAACCAUGGCUAGACCCAA
rnacentral:lncRNA from 1 species